rfam:Erysipelothrix rhusiopathiae str. Fujisawa DNA, complete genome.
GGGGUUUUAGCUCAGCUGGGAGAGCGCCUGCCUUGCACGCAGGAGGUCAACGGUUCGAUCCCGUUAAGCUCCA